UGCAGUCGAACGAGACCUUCGGGUCUAGUGGCGCACGGGUGAGUAACGCGUGGAAACCUGCCAUUCUGUACGGAAUAACGAUUGGAAACGAUCGCUAAUACCGUAUACGCCCUGUGGGGGAAAGGUCCGCCGCAGAAUGAGGGGUCCGCGUCCGAUUAGCUUGUUGGUGGGGUAAAAGCCUACCAAGGCGAUGAUCGGUAGCUGGUCUGAGAGGAUGAUCAGCCACACUGGGACUGAGACACGGCCCAGACUCCUACGGGAGGCAGCAGUGGGGAAUAUUGGACAAUGGGGGCAACCCUGAUCCAGCAAUGCCGCGUGUGUGAAGAAGGCCUUAGGGUUGUAAAGCACUUUCAAUGGUGAAGAUGAUGACGGUAGCCGUAGAAGAAGCCCCGGCUAACUUCGUGCCAGCAGCCGCGGUAAUACGAAGGGGGCGAGCGUUGUUCGGAAUUACUGGGGCGUAAAGGGCGCGCAGGCGGCUAAUCCAGUCAGGUGUGAAAGCCCCGGGCUUAACCUGGGAACUGCACUUGAUACUGAUUGGCUAGAAAACGGAAGAGGGCAGUGGAAUUCCCAGUGGUAGAGUUGAAAUUCGUAGAUAUUGGGAAGAACAACCAGUGGCGAAAGCG
rnacentral:rRNA from 1 species